GCUCACGGCCACACCGCCUGGUUCACGCCGGAUCUCGGAAGCUAAGAUAGGUUGGGCCUGGUUAGUACUUGGAUGGGAGACCGCCUAGGAAUACCAGGUGCUGUAAGCC
ensembl:rRNA 5S_rRNA 5S ribosomal RNA